GGGAAAGCCAGGUUUGUACCUCUGAAAAAAAUGUUGGCAUAGUUUCUAAACAAACACUCUAAAGAUUCUCUAAUCUUCUUAGAGUCAGAAGUGAACUAUUUCCUUACUUAAGUACAAUUAGAAAUGGCUUAUUUUCUCAAUUUUAAAUGAGUUUCUGAAACAUAUCACAUGACACCAAGGAUGAGUGGAAAUUAGAAGCUGUUGCUGCUCUUUCUAGAUCAUGAAUCAUAGCUUUUUCUCUACAAUUUGCUGCAACUAAUGUCUGAAAUCUAAGGCCCCCAUCCUGAAUUAAAUUAUAAUUCAGAGUUAAGAGGACAUUACCCAAAUCAGCACUGUAGGGAUUCAUUUAUAUCAUGCAUGUAGUGAUAAAUUGGGAAAUCCUUGUGUAUUUAAGAUCUUCCUCUCUGAACAUUCGGAUAUCCCAUAACACUGCCUUUAGGAUAAAAAUAAGGUGAGGCAGGGGUUGGCCUGGAUUUGUUUUCAGACAUCUUAACCAACAUUUGGACCAAAUACAUAGAAAGCAUAAUACAUUUAUAUAUGUAUCAAUUAUUAUAUUCCCUAAAUAGCCAUAGUGAUGAAAGUCUCUGCAGUACACGUACUUAGUCUACUAGCUUUCUGGCUUUAUCUUUCCAUCCUCUUCAGACUUUGUGGGGUCCACUGUGUGGAUAUCUUGACUCAUGAAUUUUCUAGACUAAUUAUCCCAGCAGAUUUAAGCCUGUUGGACACUGGGGCACUGGUUGGUGCUGUUGUGACUGUUAAUGGGCAUAUACUCAGUAAGAUUUUUCCUUUCGUCUUGUUUUAUGUCCCAAGAGUUUGGCUAGGGGGUCAAAGAGAGGGUACCCCAAUAUGGGCCACUUUGGCAUUAAGACUAUUUUGAGCUGAAAGUAAUCAAGAUCCUGUGAACUCCAAAGAAACGUUUUGCCCUUCCCUUAACUACAUGAAAGAAUCUAAAUUAGAGGAGAUCUUUCCCAGAAUAAUGGUUAUUACCAGAGUUAAAGUUUAUUUGAGUGACCCAUCUGUAUACCAGGGCAAAAAUCUAACUACCAAACAUCUGCUUUUUUUCUUACUGCCCUGUCAAUGGCAUUUUUUCCCUUUGAAGUCCCAGACCCCUAUUCCAUUCCCCCGAGUUCAGGAUGACAUAUAUACCUCCUUUUGCCUGACUGUUUUUGGAAUUUCUGUGACUACGUGGAUUCCCCAUUUGUACACUAUUAAAUUUGAUUUUCUCCCUUUAAUCUGUCUCAUGUCGAUUUGAUUCUUAGUCCAGCUAGAAGGGCCUUUGAGGGGACAGGAAUUCUGGCUCCUUGACAGUUGGCAUAGUCAAAAGGAUGUUUUAAGUCACUGGACACCAGUCGCUCUGACGCUGCUGGAGCUGAAAUCUCCUGGGACAUCUGACACACAGCUGGCACAAGGACAUGAUUGGAAGCCUUAGUUAUAUUACAAAGGCUUUGGCUGGAAUGUCGUAUUUGAGAGAGGCGUGCAUAGACUCAGAUAUGAACAGACAGCUUUAAGGAACUAAGCCUGACUUUAUGGAGCCAAUAAAACCCCUUGGAAAAUAUCAGCCUGGUGCAUUCCUUACAAAGGUCCCAGCAGCCUCACCAGGUGAAUAAAGAAGGUCACUCCCUGGCAGGUGCAGGAAGCUCAGGAUGUUCUGGGGACCUCGAGAAGAGAGGAAUUCACCCAAGUCUUGUUCUCCAGUGCCAGGCUACAACUCUCCAAACUAAUGUUUUUGAAUGUUCUCCCACCUUUCUGACUUGGAAUCAUUUGAGAACUAAAACUUCCCUCUUCCUUGAAGCCCUGCAAACUUAAUAUAAAAUGGCUUGGUGUAAACUUCAGAGAAAUUGCCACAAUGGCUCAUGUCUAGACAAUCUUUGUACCUACUGCACUGUGGGCCACUCAACAGAUUGCUAGAGACAUGUGAGCUACAAACCAGGAGAAUCUGUCGCAUUGCCACGGCCUGCCUUCACUCUGUCUGAAGAUGCUCGGAGCCUGACAUCUAGAAGUCUUGUCAGUUGGCUGGCUCAGAACUCAGAGACAGGUUUAUAAUCUGAUCUAAUCAUUAACCGCUGCUUUUCUUUUAUUUCUUUUAUUUCCGUAGAAAGGCCUCUUAUCUAAUACCUGAUUACUUGAACCAUAGGCCUAGCUUGGAGAAACGCCACCUUCUGAAAUGAGUUCAACUAAGCUGACCUAUUAUCAAGACUCGGGGGGAGUGGUUCGGUGAGACAAAACAAUCUACCAGCUCAACUUUUAAUGUGUGAACCAUCAGGAAGUUUCAGGGGACGGAACUGUGAGGGCCAAAGACAGGCUGUCCCAAGAUGGGCCACUUUGGUAUGAAGACUGUUUUGAGCUGAAAGCAGUCGAGACCCUCUAGGUCAAGAGGAACUCCUUGCUCCUCCCUGAGCUGCAUAGGAGAAUCUAGAUUGGAAAUCUUUCCCAGAAUAAUGGUUAUUACCACAGAUACAUUUAUCUGCAUGACCCAUCUGUAGGGCAGGGCAGACAUCUAAGUACCAAACACCUGCUCCUUUUCUUACUGCCCUGUCAACUGCAUUUUUUCCCUUCAAAGUCCCAGACUCCUACCCCUUCUCCUCACCUCAGGAUGGCAUACAGACCUCAUUUGGCCUGACUGUCUUUGGAAUUUCCAUGUCUGUGUGGAUUCCCUGUAUGUAUGCUAUUAAAUUUGAUUUUCUCCUAUUGGUCCA